AGAGUUUGAUCCUGGCUCAGAACGAACGCUGGCGGCGUGGAUAAGACGUGCAAGUCGAGCGAGAUUUUUUCCUGUAGCAAUACAGGGAAACGUCUAGCGGCGAACGGGUGCUUAACACGUGGGCAACCUGCCAAGAAGUGGGGGAUAGCUCGCCGAAAGGCGAAUUAAUACCGCAUGUGAUUAGAGUGGACAUCCAUUCAAAAUCAAAGUCGGGGCAACCUGACGCUUCUUGAGGGGCCCGCGGCCUAUCAGCUAGUUGGUGAGGUAACGGCCCACCAAGGCUUUGACGGGUAGCUGGUCUGAGAGGACGACCAGCCACACUGGGACUGAGACACGGCCCAGACACCUACGGGUGGCAGCAGUCGAGAAUUUUUCUCAAUGGGGGAAACCCUGAAGGAGCGACGCCGCGUGGAGGAUGAAGGUCUUCGGAUUGUAAACUCCUGUCAUUGGGGAACAAUGCGUAAAUAUUAACUGUAUUUGCGUUGAUAGUACCCGAAGAGGAAGAGACGGCUAACUCUGUGCCAGCAGCCGCGGUAAUACAGAGGUCUCAAGCGUUGUUCGGAUUCAUUGGGCGUAAAGGGUGCGUAGGCGGCGCGGUAAGUCGGGUGUGAAAUCUCGGAGCUUAACUCCGAAACUGCAUUCGAUACUGCCGUGCUUGAGGACUGGAGAGGAGACUGGAAUUUACGGUGUAGCGGCGAAAUGCGUAGAUAUCGUAAGGAAGACCAGUGGCGAAGGCGGGUCUCUGGACAGUUCCUGACGCUGAGGCACGAAGGUCAGGGGAGCAAACGGGAUUAGAUACCCCGGUAGUCCUGACAGUAAACGGUGCACGUUUGGUGUGGGAGGAUUCGACCCCUUCUGCGCCGGAGCUAACGCGUUAAACGUGCCGCCUGGGGAGUACGGUCGCAAGAUUAAAACUCAAAGAAAUUGACGGGGGCCCGCACAAGCGGUGGAGUAUGUGGCUCAAUUCGAUGCAACGCGAAGAACCUUACCAGGCCUUGACAUGCAUCUCUAAGUUGGUGAAAGCCAGCGAGUCCCGAAAGGGACAAUUUGCACAGGUGCUGCAUGGCUGUCGUCAGCUCGUGUCGUGAGAUGUUGGGUUACAAGGUAACCGU
rnacentral:rRNA from 1 species